CACCCAUUUAGAUCUAGAGUAAAAAGAUUUGCUUUGUUAUUUACUAACGUUUUGCUCUAGUGAGUUUGUAGAAUUUCUAAAUAGGCUAUCACCCACCCCCCCUCUCUAGCCAUAUUAGGACCUUUCACCUACUCGUACAUCAUGCAUCAGCAUCCAUAGUUUUCUUCUGAAAAGUUAACAAUUUAUGUUUCUUAUUUUCAUGAUGCAUCAUUUCAUAUUUUUCGAGUAGUACUAUAUAUAUCAGUACUCUCUCCAUCUCAAAAUAGUGUUGUUAUAUGAUAUUUGUGUGAGACAAACUUUUUAAAAUUUAACUAAAUUUAUAGAAAAUAUUAGCAACAUAGCCAUGUUUGCUUGAGCUUAUCAGCAUUACUUUUCAACCAUAGAAUAAUAUUUUUCUCCCAUAACAAAUCAACAUCAGUAGCAGCCUUUUUUAGCAAGCCAAAUAGAGAUCUCCAAAUAAAUUCAUUGUGCGAAUAGAUUUGACAACAUAUUUAAUGAUAAUAAUUAUGUAAUAUAAAUAUAAAUAUUUUAUCAUAUUAAUUCAGUCAUGGAAGCUAGAACUACAUUUAUUUUGGGACGGAGAAAGUAUAAUAAUAGAUGAAACAUAGUAACAGUUAUCACAUCGUAUGUCAUGGCAAAAUUAUGUUUCUUUCUUUAAAAAAAGAUUUUCAAGUCAUCACGCUAGAGGCAUUACCCAAUUUUUUUGUCAAAUCAAAUACAUAGAAGAACCACGUACAUUUAUAUUUCAAAGAAAAUAGUAGUUGCAAUAUAUUACUCCAACCUGAACUCAAUGUUGAGGUGUUGGAUUCACUGGAGCUGCUGGAAAUAUCGGACAGACGCAUCAGGGUUGUUUAAAAGUUACUCGACUUUGGGAGCACCACAGCAUCCAGAGCAUUGCUGGCUCAUUCGUGUGUCGACACGUCGUGCUACAUCUUUUACAAAAAAGCCUUUUAGCUUUUUGAAAACCAACCCGCAGUCCAGAUGUAUUGAUGUUCAUCGGGCUCACUGCCGCACGGCCUGGGUGGCACCCGAAACCCUAGCUUCCCUCAUUUCUUCUCUCUUCUCGCCUCAACUCGUGGUGAUGCUCUAAAAGAGGAGCUCACGGAUCUGCAGAGACCACUCCUCUUCUCCCCUCCCCUCCGCUCGCGGUGCCGGGGCAAGCUCCCCUCUGCUCAUGGUGACGGCACAGAUCUACAGGAUUGCGGACACCAGUUUAAGUAUGUAUCACUUGAUGUGUGAACUUCCAUCAAAUUCAGGACGAAACUGAUAACAACUAGAAGAGCAGGAUGAUGGCGUCAAAUUCAACUGUGAUUUUGAUGGAGAUAAAACAAUUGGUUGAAGACAAGAUGGUGCUCAAGAUGCAGGAACAUCACAAAUCUGAAAGCCCUUCCUUGAUCCACACCAACCCCGCCUCACCACCAUACGCACACAAUAAAUUCUCUGCUAUCCUCUGCUCCCAGUUCAAGAAACAACAUGAUUUGACCAUGUGAUGAAGAUGGUGAAAGGGGUGGAGCUCCAGUUGUUUGAAUUGGCUUCUGUUUUGGCAAAUCUGCUUCUAGGACAGUUACUAAGUUUGUCAUUUUACAUGUCAUACGGACAAGAAGAUAUUUCUGUCCAAGCUGUGCACCUUUCAAAUACAAGUUAUGUAAACUAUUCUUCUUCCAGGAACCUUCAUGUGUACGAACCUCCAAUAAAACAUGGUUUGUAUGCCUGUCAUUAACUAGACUUCUUACAUUGCA